AGUCGAACGUCCCCCUGUUGCGGGGGGCGUGGCGUACGGCUCAGUAACACGUAGUCACUGCCCUGGAGACAAGGACAACCCCGGGAAACUGGGAUAUCUGAUAGGUCAUCUCAUCUGGAAGGAGAGAUGGCUAAAGGGAUACGCGGGCUUCUUCCGCGAAUUCGCUCAGGAUGGGACUGCGUCCGAUCAGGCUGUUGGCGGGGUAAUGGCCCACCAAACCUGUAACCGGUACGGGCCUUGAGAGAGGUGGCCCGGAGAUGGACACUGAGAGAAGGGUCCAGGUCCUACGGGGCGCAGCAGGCGCGAAACCUUCGCAAUGCGCGAAAGCGUGACGAGGUUAAUCCGAGUGACUCCCGCUGAGGGGGUCUUUUGUCAGCUGUAAAUAGGCAGGCGAAUAAGGGGAGGGCAAGCCUGGUGUCAGCCGCCGCGGUAAUACCAGCUCCUCGAGUGGUCGGGGCGAUUAUUGGGCCUAAAGCAUCCGUAGCCGGUUCCGUAGGUCCUCUGUUAAAUCCAACCGCUUAACGGUUGACCUGCAGAGGAUACCGCGGGACUAGGAGGCGGGAGAGGCGGACGGUAUUCCGCGUGUAGGGGUAAAAUCCUUUGAUCCGCGGAGGACCACCAGUGGCGAAGGCGGUCCGCCAGGACGCGCUCGACGGUGAGGGAUGAAAGCUGGGGGAGCGAACCGGAUUAGAUACCCGGGUAGUCCCAGCCGUAAACGAUGCUAGCUAGAUGAUUCAUUCGCAAGUCGCGAAUGAAGUGUCGCAGGGAAGCCGUUAAGCUAGCCGCCUGGGGAGUACGGACGCAAGUCUGAAACUUAAAGGAAUUGGCGGG
rnacentral:rRNA from 1 species